UUUCUACUCCCUCCGUCCGAAAAUACUUGUCAUAAAAAUGGAUAAAAAGAGAUGUAUCUAAAACUAAAAUACGUCUGUAUACAUUUCCUUUUAUCCAUUUUGAUGACAAGUAUUUCCGGACGGAGGGAGUAUUUG
rfam:Triticum aestivum genome assembly, contig: Triticum_aestivum_CS42_TGACv1_scaffold_374918_5AL